UUCUGUGGGAUCCCGAGGCCCUCUCAGCCCCCAUCUGGAUUUCAUUUGAACCAGACGCUGCCUGCCCAGAGACGGCUUGACCUUUCUUUUUGGAAAAAAACCCAGUUUCCUACCUCCGCCUCGGGGGCUGCUCUUAUAGGGCUGCCAACUUCCUUACAGCAGUGCCCUCAGCCAGGGUGUGGAUAUUUUGGGGAGACAAGCUAGCUGUCAGCUGAACACCUCCAAACCAGCAGAUCUGGAGACAGAGCCGUCAAUAAUCCCCAUAGCAGAUCCCGAGAGACAUGGGGUGGGGGGCUCAAUUUACAAACUGGAGGGGGGGGCUGGUGGCGGGGGGGGGACAGUAUUCCCCCACCCCGCUCUCAUUCUCAUUUUUCAACUAUGCAUGUGGAAACCCAUGUCACGCAACCCACAUUUUUCCGUUUUGGAAUUCAAAGGCUGGAUUUCCAAAUGUGAUAUUUGGAGUGUUUUAACUAGAUCUUCUGACGUGACCACUGCAUGCAACUGAAAGACUGGGCUCUGGGCCCACCAGCGCUCACGUCCCAUCCCAAUACAUGUGUAAGCCUUUAAAGAUACCACAAGACAGCUAGUUCUUUUUGCCGCAAGAGACUGACAUAACUACCCCUCUGGAAAGUCUUCUGAGUGCAUUCCACUCCACAGUUUGGCAGGAAAGAAGAAAUGCCGUCCACCCCCGUGUCUUUCCAGAUGGAACAGUCUACCUGGAGCCCAUUGGAAGGCAGCCCAAGGAGAGCCGCCCUCAUUUGGCGGCUUGUGAAGGAUGGUUGGACACACCCAGGCAGCGUCUUAAAGGGACAGGCACAAAAAGCUGCGCCAGUAGUCGUCGUGGAGGGACCGCAGCCGUCAAAAUAGACAAGAGUCAGCUUGGCCACUGCUGUCCCCACUCCGCCAUGAAGCUCACUGGGUGACCUUGGACCAAUCACCAUCUUUUGGCCAGACCUACCUCUCAGGGUUGUUGUGAAGCUGAAAGGCGUGGAAGAACAUUCUAUGUAGCACUGAACACCUUGGACAAGGCCAGGGCAGGAUUAAAAUGUUAGAAACAAGCUUCUCAAACCAUGUGGAGAUUAUAUUCCCCAACACCAACUAAUUCAUAAA